rnacentral:lncRNA from 1 species
AGGACAUAUGUUAGAGGGAAAUUUCCGGGAGUAGAUGUCCCAUGAUGGAAAUUCCAUGGGGAGGGGUAAUUUACACAUGGAAAUUCCAUGGACAGGGCCAAAUUUAAAUGGAAAUUCCAUGGGGAAGGCCUAAUUUAGAAUGGAAAUUCCUUGGGGAAGGGUAAUUUUUACAAGGAAUUUCCAUGGGAAGGGGUAAAUUUUACAUGAAAAUUUGCGGAAUUCCAGGGGAGUACCGACAUAAGAAAGGGGUUCCUCAACAGGGGGGGGUGCGGAUAAUAAUUGGAAUAGCCCAUUGGAAUCUUCAUGCUCAAAUUAGUCUAUACCACACACAAAUUUCAUGAUGUUUGGAUAUUCAGGGCAUGAGUUGAACGGCGUUUUGACAAUGUUGUUUUCGCUAUGUAAGCAUAUUUUCUUUGAAGCGGAAGUUCCUGUGAAAUGUAUAAAAUAUAGAAAAACAAAAUUUUCAAAAUGCUGUAUUUAUAAGACUUAUAACCCUCAACCCAAAAUUUCCAAUGGACUAAUUUGAGCAUGAAGAUUUUAAUUCUUCAGUCCAUAUCCAGAGCCUGAAAUAAUUUUAAAAUUUGUCUGGAAAAACUUCCGAUCAAAACGAAAUUUGACCGGAAAUUUGCAAAAUUGACCGGAAUUUUUUUUAGUUUAGUUUAACCAAGUACACCCCCCCCCCCCCCANNNNNNNNNNNNNNNNNNNNCAGAGCCUGAAAUAAUUUUAAAAUUUGUCCGGAAAAACUUCCGAUCAAAACGAAAUUUGACCGGAAAUUUGCAAAAUUGACCGGAAUUUUUUUAGUUUAGUUUGACCAAGUCCACCCCCCCCCCCCAACGAGCAAACUCUGUCAAGUAUACAGACGUGCACCGAGUAAAUCACUCUACUUGCAAUAAUAAAAGACAAAUGUUUAAUUCUGAAUUGCUUAUUGGAAUAGUGAUAGUGAAUAAUAAUUUAAUCACGCCCGCCGACGCUGUUUUUAUCUUGACCCGACAACACCAUGCUGUAAGCCGCCAUCUUGUUUAUUGGGCCCGUGAACUAUACUUUCUAGUUGAUUACUUUAUAAUUAUUAGCCUAAUAUAGAUAAUCCAAACUUACAGAUGGUACUCACUGUGCUGAGUUCCGACCGAUCAUUAAGAAAACAUUUUUAUUUUUCUCAAAAUUUG